CUUCCCCUUCCUCUCCCCUGUUCAGGUAUCGUUCUACAACGUGGACUAACUUCCCCUUCCUCUCCCCUUUUCAGGUAUCGUUCUACAACGUGGACUAACUUCCCCUUCCUCUCCCCUGUUCAGGUAUCGUUCUACAACGUGGACUAACUUCCCCUUCCUCUCCCCUUUUCAGGUAUUGUUCUACAACGUGGACUAACUUCCCC